GCCGCAGUGGUGAAAUUGGCAGACACGCAGCGUUCAGAACGCUGUGGGGUAAAACCCUUGGAGGUUCGAGUCCUCUCUGCGGCACCA
rnacentral:tRNA from 1 species